rnacentral:rRNA from 1 species
AUUGAACGCUGGCGGCAGGCCUAACACAUGCAAGUCGAGCGAGCGGCGGACGGGUGAGUAAUGUCUGGGAAACUGCCUGAUGGAGGGGGAUAACUACUGGAAACGGUAGCUAAUACCGCAUCCCAUCAGAUGUGCCCAGAUGGGAUUAGCUAGUAGGUGGGGUAACGGCUCACCGAGGCGACGAUCCCGCGCUGGUCUGAGAGGAUGCCCAGCCAAACUGGAACUGAGACGCUGUCCAGACUCCUACGGGAGGCAGCAGUGGGGACUAUUGCAAAAUGGGCGCAAGCCUGAUGCAGCCAUGCCGCGUGUGUGAAGAAGGCCUUCGGGUUGUAAAGCACUUUCAGCGGGGAGGCGUUACCCGCAGAAGAAGCAACGGCUAACUCCGUGCCAGCAGCCGCGGUAAUUC